rnacentral:rRNA from 1 species
GGGCUCCAUGUUCCUGGCCUCGAGCUUCGGCGGAGGGGGCUACAGCCUGACUUUAUACCCACCCUUUGCCUAUGUGUACCCCUAUUGCUUCCCUCGGCGGGUUCGCCCGCCGACAGGAACCAACUAAACCCUUUGCAUUAUACAUUUAACACUUCCGAUACAAAACUAAAUUAUUACAACUUUUAACAAUGGAUCUCUUGGUUCUGGCAUCGAUGAAGAACGCAGCGAAAUGCGAUAAGUAGUGUGAAUUGCAGAAUUCAGUGAAUCAUCGAAUCUUUGAACGCACAUUGCGCCCCUCGGUAUUCCGUGGGGCAUGCCUGUUCGAGCGUCAUUUACACCCUCAAGCUAUGCUUGGUGUUGGGCGUCUGUCCCGCCUUCGUGCGCGGACUCGCCUCAAAGUCAUUGGCAGCGGUCUCGUCGGCUUCUCGCGCAGCACAUUUGCGCUUCUCGGAGCCCCGGCGGAUCAGCGUCCAGCAAGCGAUUUCAUGACUUGACCUCGGAUCAGGUAGGGAUACCCGCUGAACUUAAGCAUAUCAAACGAGGAAAGGAAGC